UACGUAGGGUGCAAGCGUUAAUCGGAAUUACUGGGCGUAAAGCGUGCGCAGGCGGCUUUGCAAGACAGAUGUGAAAUCCCCGGGCUUAACCUGGGAACUGCAUUUGUGACUGCAUGGCUGGAGUGCGGCAGAGGGGGAUGGAAUUCCGCGUGUAGCAGUGAAAUGCUUAGAUAUCGGGUGGAACACCAGUGGCGAAGGCGCUGCUCUGGGCCGGUACUGACGCUGAGGAGCGAAAGCGUGGGUAGCAAACAGG
rnacentral:rRNA from 1 species